rnacentral:tRNA from 1 species
GUUGUUGUGGCCGAGAGGUUAAGGCGAUGUGACUUGAAAUCCAUGGUGGGUUGUCGUCCCCGCGCAGGUUCGAGUCCUGCCAGCAACG